rnacentral:rRNA from 1 species
GUGCCAGCAGCCGCGCGGUAAUACCCGCAGCUCGAGUGGUGGUCGCUUUUAUUGAGCCUAAAACGUUCGUAGUCGGCCUUGUAAAUCCCCGGGUAAAUCGGACCGCUUAACGGUUCGAAUUCCGGGGAGACUGCAAGGCUAGGGACCGGGCGAGGUCAGAGGUACUUUCGGGGUAGGAGUGAAAUCCUGUAAUCCCGAAGGGACCACCUGUGGCGAAAGCGUCUGACUUGAACGGCUCCGACGAUGAGGAACGAAGGCUAGGGGAGCAAACCGGAUUAGAUACCCGGGUAGUCCUAGCUGUAAACUCUGCCCGCUUGGUGUGGCCUGUCCUUCGGGGGCAGGCUGUGCCGGAGCGAAGGUGUUAAGCGGGCUGCUUGGGGAGUACGGCCGCAAGGUUGAAACUUAAAGGAAUUGGCGGGGGAGCACCGCAACGGGAGGAUGCGUGCGGUUUAAUUGGAUUCAACGCCGGAAAACUCACCUGAGGAGACCAGCGUAUGUGGGUCAAGCCGAAGACUUUACCCGAACAACAGCUGGAGAGGUGGUGCAUGGCCAUCGUCAGCUCGUACCGUAGGGCAUUCACUUAAGUGUGAUAACGAGCGAGACCCCCAUCCCUAGUUGCUAACCCCUCCGAAAGGAGAGGUGCACUCU